ACAUGUAUAUAAACCUCAAUAGUUGCAGCGGAAUAUAAAUCAGAGUGAUCAAAUAUAUACAUGCCAUGAACAAAUAACUCAUAUCCCAAAGAUAAAUCUCAAAACCCAAACAUACGGGCAGUCAUCAACAAAAUAAUAAUCCAAAGGAAAAUAUAAACAACCUAAUCUAGACCGACACGACAAGCCUAGAUCAGAGCCGACACGACCCGAUAUCGGAGAAAGCUCCCGAUAUCCCAAGCACAAGAACUCACCAAGCAACUAAACCUGCACAACGUCUACCCAUCCAUAC
rnacentral:lncRNA from 1 species